AAGCAAAAGGGUUUGCUACUCAUUUCUAGUGUUUAGGACAAUAAAAGGGGACAAAGAGACUUUAGUUGCUUUAUGUUUAUUGUGAUUUGGAGUACGUAGUUGAAAAGAAAUCCACAAAUUGUAAGUGACUAAUUCAUGCCAUAAUAAUUUUUAUAAACAAAUGGGUGCUUUGGGAUCUUAGUUGAUAUUUGUUGCAAACGAAGAACUUUGCUAUUGCUUUUCUUUAAAUAAAGAAUGUCAAUGUCUCCUUUCAAUAAUUAAUAUAUCUUUUAUUCUUU
rnacentral:misc_RNA from 1 species